rnacentral:rRNA from 1 species
AGUGAACGCUGGCGGUAGGCCUAACACAUGCAAGUCGAACGGCAGCACAGUAAGAGCUUGCUCUUACGGGUGGCGAGUGGCGGACGGGUGAGGAAUACAUCGGAAUCUACUUUUUCGUGGGGGAUAACGUAGGGAAACUUACGCUAAUACCGCAUACGACCUACGGGUGAAAGCAGGGGAUCUUCGGACCUUGCGCGAUUGAAUGAGCCGAUGUCGGAUUAGCUAGUUGGCGGGGUAAAGGCCCACCAAGGCGACGAUCCGUAGCUGGUCUGAGAGGAUGAUCAGCCACACUGGAACUGAGACACGGUCCAGACCCCUACGGGAGGCAGCAGUGGGGAAUAUUGGACAAUGGGCGCAAGCCUGAUCCAGCCAUACCGCGUGGGUGAGGAAGGCCUUCGGGUUGUAAAGCCCUUUUGUUGGGAAAGAAAAGCAGCAGGUUAAUACCCCGCUGUUCUGACGGUACCCAAAGAAUAAGCACCGGCUAACUUCGUG